AACCCUCUCAUCAUGCAAAGGAGCAAUAGAUUCAUUAGCAUAAGUCUUGUUUCUUGUGUUUCUGCAUUGUUACUAGUCUUAUUUUGUUCUUCAUUGUGCUCUAUGUUUUCCACUCAUCAUUAGACUGCUAUAAAAAUUAAAUCUUACUGAGAAUCUCUCAAAAAGCAUGUUUAAAUUGCAUGAGAAAUUUUAGGACAGGUGAAUUCUACAGUUCAUAUUAAGUUUAAGUUUUCCCAUUUUAAUGUCAGAUGGCUCCAUUCAUCUUUUAAUAGUCCUUUAAUUAAAUUUUCUUUUAUUUACAAACUUUUAUUUUGUUCUCUUAGUUAUGAAAAUUUAGAGUUAUUAAUGAGUUUAUAUAUUUUUAUAUAUAUAUAUGUACAUAGGGUUCAUCCCAAAACAUAUUGGUCCUGAUCCAGCUAACUGUUAAUGAGCUGCAUUUUUGCAGGCUUGGGUUUAAGGACUUGUUGCUCUGACAACAGGUCCAGAUGAAUGCUGAAUCUGCUUUAAAGAACCAACAAAUCCAGACUCAUGUCAAAUCAUCAAAUCAUCUGUUUGUGGAGGCCCAGCAGUGUGUUUAUGGGUGCCACCUCAAAACCAGAAGCCUGGAAGAGUGAACUGUUUGGAGAAACAUGGAGGUAGACCUUAUGAAAUGCACAUUUGAGAUGGCUUAACAUGGACAAUAUUUACAUUAUUUACAAUGAUGUUUGUCCUUUAACAUACUACAUAUGUAACCCAUGGCUGAAUGGGAUAUGAAUCAUCAUAUGCUGUAACAGUGGCAUUUACUGUAUAUGUCCUUGUAUGGACACAUUCCUGUGAUCAUGAAACCAAAGAACUACGCCUGACAGCGUAAGAGGCUCUUACAAUACAGUUUGUCACAGAGUAAAUUAUAUGAUUAGAUUUUUUACUGUGUUCUAUAAUACAGUUAUAGUUAAACAAUUUUACAGAAUUAACACGUUAGGAAACACAGUUCAGAUUAAUACUGUUAAAGUGUCAUAACAAAAUCUGUUGGCAGAUGUUCUAUAUUAAAUCCCUUCAAUACUUCGA